AUAAAUAAUAUCAACAAAAGGUUAUUGAAUACUAUAAGGAAUCGUACUGUCGUAUUUCUCUCCGUAGAGGUUUAUCUCCGUAGCCUUGCGGCGCCCAAGUAUCCUUUUAUUUGAUAAAUAGAUGAAAUAUGGAUAUAUAAAUUUGUGUAGAACAAUAUGUAUUUGUAUAUCUAUAGAUAAAAUACAAGUAAGAAAAAUAAUUUAACAUAAAUCAAACUUAUCUC
rnacentral:lncRNA from 1 species